rnacentral:rRNA from 1 species
UGGGGAAUAUUGCACAAUGGGCGCAAGCCUGAUGCAGCCAUGCCGCGUGUGUGAAGAAGGCCUUCGGGUUGUAAAGCACUUUCAGCGGGGAGGAAGGCGUUAAGGUUAAUAACCUUGGCGAUUGACGUAACCCGCAGAAGAAGCACCGGCUAACUCCGUGCCAGCAGCCGCGGUAAUACGGAGGGUGCAAGCGUUAAUCGGAAUUACUGGGCGUAAAGCGCACGCAGGCGGUCUGUCAAGUCGGAUGUGAAAUCCCCGGGCUCAACCUGGGAACUGCAUUCGAAACUGGCAGGCUAGAGUCUUGUAGAGGGGGGUAGAAUUCCAGGUGUAGCGGUGAAAUGCGUAGAGAUCUGGAGGAAUACCGGUGGCGAAGGCGGCCCCCUGGACAAAGACUGACGCUCAGGUGCGAAAGCGUGGGGAGCAAACAGG